CGUCGCGUCCUCUUCUUGCCCUCCCCUCCCGGCUCACUUCCGCCUACUCCGCCCUGGUCCCCAGAACGGAAGCGCAGCGCUUUAACUAGAUCUUGCUUCUGAGUCCAAACCCCAGCGUCGCCAAGAUGCCGGCUUACCACUCUUCCCUCAUGGACCCCGACACCAAACUCAUUGGAAACAUGGCCCUGUUGCCUAUCAGAAGUCAGUUCAAAGGACCUGCCCCUAGAGAGACAAAAGAUACAGAUAUUGUGGAUGAAGCCAUCUAUUACUUCAAGGCCAAUGUCUUCUUCAAGAACUAUGAAAUUAAG